rnacentral:rRNA from 1 species
UACGUAGGGGGCAAGCGUUGUCCGGAAUCAUUGGGCGUAAAGCGCGUGUAGGCGGUUCAGUAAGUCUGCUGUGAAAGUCCAGGGCUCAACCCUGGGAUGCCGGUGGAUACUGCUGGGCUAGAGUACGGAAGAGGCGAGUGGAAUUCCCGGUGUAGCGGUGAAAUGCGCAGAUAUCAGGAGGAACACCGGUGGCGAAGGCGGGUCUCUGGGCAACAACUGACGCUGAGGAGCGAAAGCGUGGGGAGCGAACAGG